UACGUAGGGCGCAAGCGUUGUCCGGACUGACUGGGCGUAAAGCGCGCGCAGGCGGUCAGAGGCGUCGGUGCUCAAAGUCCACCGCUUAACGGUGGGAGGCGUGCCGAUACGCUCUGACUGGAGGGCGGGCGAGGGUGGUGGAAUUGCCGGUGUAGUGGUGAAAUGCGUAGAGAUCGGCAGGAACACCAGUGGCGAAGGCGGCCACCUAGCCUGCACCUGACGCUGAGGCGCGGACAGCCGUGGGGGAGCGAACUGG
rnacentral:rRNA from 1 species